AUGUCCUCCUCUAGCUCGGCCAUCUUCUCCGGCCUGAACAACAACACCUCCGAACCACUUUCCCGUACCAACUAUGUCCUAUGGCACGCCCAGGCCUGAUCACAGAUCAUGGGCGCUGGCCUUUUUGGCUAUCUCGAUCAAACUAUCCAAGAACCCUCCAAAACCAUCACAACCAAGAGCGCCGAUGGGAAGGAUCAGGUUGUCCCAAAUCCUUCCUACUCCCCAUGGCUUAUUCAAGAUCAGCAAAUAGUUGCCUAUCUUCUCCGAAACCUAUCCAAAGAAGUGCUCAUCCAAGUCGCCUCCCUUGAGACAUCACAUGCAAUCUGGGACGCACUGGCGAACAUGUUUGCCGCUGUGUCCCUAUCUCGCGUCAACAACAUCCGAGCCUCUCUCACGAACGCGCAGAAGGGAUCCCAGUUGGCUUCAGCCUACUUCAGGUACAUGAGGUCUCUCUCCGACGAGCUCGCGGCGGCGGGUAGACCGCUCGAGGAGGGAGAACUCAUCUCCUUCAUCGUUGCUGUACUCUAUAUGGAGUAUCAACCGAUUGUCUCCGUGCUGGAUGUGCGCACGGAGCCUACCACCAUCGACGCCCUCUUCUCUCUUGUGGCCAACUUCCACCAGAGGGUCGAGAUGUUCCAUGGCAACGGAGUCGGCGGCUUUAAAUCUUUUGCAAAAUCCAUCUCCCGCGGCGGCAGGCGACAAUGA
rnacentral:rRNA from 1 species